UACGUAGGGGGCGAGCGUUGUCCGGAUUCAUUGGGCGUAAAGAGCUCGUAGGCGGCUUGGCAAGUCGGAUGUGAAAACUCCAGGCUCAACCUGGAGCCGCCAUUCGAUACUGCUAUGGCUAGAGUCCGGUAGGGGAGUGUGGAAUUCCCGGUGUAACGGUGAAAUGCGCAGAUAUCGGGAGGAACACCGAUGGCGAAGGCAGCACUCUGGGCCGGCACUGACGCUGAGGAGCGAAAGCGUGGGGAGCGAACAGG
rnacentral:rRNA from 1 species